GCCAUAUAAUAAGAAGAACAAGAAUUAAUCACUUAGUAAACUUGGCUUCAAGAGUAUUCUUCCAUUUCUGUAUUAACGGGAAAAAGUGUGAUUUUCAAUAGUCACAGAAAACCACUCUAAUUAGGAUUGAGUAUUUACAUUGUUGUAGUGAAAAAAAUAUGUAUGGCACCUUUUGCCAUGUGAAUACUGAUUUCUUUCAAAAUUCAAUUAUAGCUUGUAAAAACAUAAUUAAUUGCUUUUCUAUAAUGUCGAUUCACAGCCCAACACAAAAGGUGUUGUGUGGGAGAAAGUUAUGUAUAAAAAAAAGAAAAAAAGAAAAAAGAAAAGAAAAAAAAUAUAUAUAUAACACAUAUUAUUGCUGAAACUAUUUUUAUGUUCUGUUUUGUCACGUUUACAUGCAUAACAGAAGUGUUGUUAAUAACACUGAACGCGUGAGAGUAUAUUCGUCCCAUAGCUUUAUCAUGUAACUACGCCAUAUCUAUACACAAAAUGACAAUAACGACAACAACGUGAUUUUUCAUGAUCCGACCAACUCAUCUGCAUAGUUGAGUAUCAUGCUCAUUGGGGAAUAAAGUGCAGUGCAGACACUAAAUAAUAUCAGGAUCAUCAGGUGAUUACCCGAGUUCCCGCCCCCUGUUUUGCUGUUUUCAUGCCCUGUUCAAUCGUCGUGGUGUAAAAGUGCGUGUUGAAUUCAAAUAUAGAAAGCAGUUGAAGUAGCCUCUUUAGAUUAUUUUUCGGAUCUCUAUCGCCGAGUCUCGAGAGGCAGUGGGCAUUCAACGCCUAUUAUUACGCAUGCAAACGAGCUAUAAGCCAUAAUACAGAGAGUUUGUUGGAAAAAACGCCACCCUUUUGAAUCGUGUUUCAACAAAACUUUCGAAAGCUGCUCUGCCAGGGUGUGUCCCGCACUUGUCGGCCAUUUUGAAUCUUGGUCACGUAGCCAGCUAGGCUGUCACCAUGACUAUCUUAAGCAGUAUAUUAUCAGCUUCUUUAAUAGAAGGACUUGGUUUCUUUAUUGCAUGGAUUCUGCGCAAAAACACUCUCGAUAGCACGCUCUCACAUAUAGGCGUAAUUCCGUGGGCUGAAAACCGUUAGCUUUGGCCUCAUUCAAAAUUCAAACAGCAACGAACGUUAAAGGCGUUAGCGGACGACGACCAGCUUGACGCUUCCCCGGCGAGGCAGCUCCAACGGUCUCUGCAGCCGAACUUCUUGUCUUUGUUUACUUGAUUCUGUGACAAGGAGUCUGUGCCCGGGGCCGCUUCUGCCAGAUGAUGGUCGAGGGAGAGCGAGGAGAUGCAGCGCCCCCCCCCCCCCCUUCGCCCUGGAGAGGAGCUCCUCGAGGGGUGAGGCCUCUGGCUUACCUUCGGCCUUAUUCGAAGGACAAGCGGAGAGGCUUCGUCACCCUAAUGCACUUACCUGUAUUUAUAACAGAACACACGCAGACAUAUUCACAGCACUCAGCCUCCGCCGUGUCUCCCAACGAGAGCGAAAUCUCACAGCGCAGUGCCGGUCCUUAAAAGUCUCCUGACGGCAGUAGAGGAUCCCGCCAGCGACCUUGAUCACCGGCCUGUGUUACGACCCAUCAUCAUAAAGGCAAUGAUAAAAAGAAGUGCAGUCCAACUCAACACAUUCACUUACACCUUGUCUCAUUAAGUCUCGUUGUAAGCCCAGCCACUCCCAGGUCUCCCGUGGUGGCAGCACCCUAAAAAUAUUACAGUGUAUUACAUCACACGAAAUCUUCACGCCUAAUUUUUUUUUUUCAUUGUUAUUUAGCGAAGGCGAGAGUAGUGGAUUCUCGAGAGGUUUUUACCUCAACGUCGUCAAGAUACUUAAGAAAAUGUUAAUUGCUUUGCUUCGUUAAGCUAGAAAAGGGAGGAAGUUUUAUUUAGUAUCCUUGUGAAGACAGCUCAAGAGAAAUAAGCAUGAUUUAUCGAGCAUAACGCAUGCUGUGUGAUGUUGACUGCGACUGUGUGUCCAACUCUACAUAUAAAUGUUCCCAUAAAUUUAACAAUAAUAUAAUUAUAUCUGUAUGUGCAAUUAUAAUUUUGUUUCUCUU